CAACGGGAAACGGGUAAUUUUUAUAUAUUGUACAUAUAAAGAUAUCUCAUUUGAUGAUGAUUUUAAUAUAACCCGAUAUCUUUAUAAUGGGUUCCUCACACAACUAAGCCUGAAUAUUUAAAACUGACUUCAUAAUGCGAAGAUAGCUAGCUUCCGCUUUCGACAGCAGCAAUGGGUGUAACAGCUGGUGUCCGCGUGUCAAUGCAGCUGACUCCUCAGUGUGGGUGUAAAUGUAAAUGGUUUGAGUGUUGGUUGACAUUUCACACAAUUACAUACUGGACGGUUUGUGUUAGUCGCUGGCGCUCGGAUUAUUGCGCAUGCGCAAAACAAUAAAAUCGCAUGCCAACGCUGCGCAUGAAUAGUCCAACUAAUUUUAUAAAGAAUGGACGCCAAGUAAGGAAGGAUGAAGUGAAUAAAAUAUUUGAACAGUUCGCCACUUAAGGACUCAAUAGGAAUGACACUGUGACAAACAGUCGAGUGGCGAAUGAUGGCACAGAACACUCCGCAUACGUCCUUACGGUGGCAGCAGUUGUGCUCAAAAUUUAAAAGGGCUCACGACACAACGGAAACAGCGUGUAUGUGUAUGUGAGAAGGCCGUUCCAAUUGUACUGCCGUGUUUAAUAGGCAAUAUUUAAUUUGCUGUACAAUGAGCCGCUUUAAGGACACUGUAGUUGUACAAAACAAAACGGCUUCUUGCCCCAAGUGUUGCGAUUCUGCUGAAACUAAACUGUACAUACAUGUGUAUAUACGAAGAUAUAUAUUGGUACUUGCUCAUACAUUUUCACUUAAUUAAUGAGCCCAAUGAUGACGAUGACAUUUUUGGUUUUAUUUUAAUUCGCUUUGUCCUUCGACACGGAACUGGAGGCGAGGGACAGCUGGUUGCUUGUACUUUACUCUAUAAAUUCACCGUGUUGCUGCAAUUCUAGGCCCUUCUUUAGGAGUUUCAGAUGUCCUUUGUUUGCCUGCUUCUUUUGCAACUUAAUUAUUGCUGGCGGAGGGUUGCUGGAAUAUGCUUUAAAUUGUAAAUUAAUGACUUUUCGGCUGCCAAGUCGCUUGUUUCUUGCUCACUUUAUUUCGUCUCCAUUGUGAGGUGUACACAUGUACAUGAGCAUGAAUACCUACCAAACACUGUAUGCAUAUAGAGAUAUAGCUUUGUUUUUGUAUAUGUCCCAGGUUUAACAAUUUUGUUUACUUCAUCGAAAUUGGUUUCGCACUCUCAAUUGCGAUAAAAGCCGCAACGAAACAAACAAAACAAACUCAUAAUAAUAGCAACAGAAGAGAAAUCAUUGUUAGAAAUUUUCCCAAUGACUGCGUCCUUUGUACAAUAUAUGAGUAUCAAUAGCAACGCGGUAGCUGGUGCUGGCGAAGAAUAGUUAUAAAAUUAGCCAAUAGAUCGGAAAAGGUGUAAAAAAUGCGCUCAGGUGUUAAAAGCAAGCUAAUGGCUCUUCUAUUGGUUGGCUACACACAUACGCAUACACACACAGGCAUCUACAACAAUUCAAUCGAGAACAAACCAAGGACAAUUAUGAGUGUUCAGGGCUCGAGUACCGAACAAUGGUAUGCGAAUUCCAGAUAAUUGAAAAGUCAAAACGAAAUCAUUGUCAAACGUUAUUGGUAUAAACGAGAACAAUAAAUGACAAUAGCAUCGGAAACAACAAUUAAAUUGAACAAUUACACAAAGUACUUAACUAAAGUGAGAUUUUUUAGGUUUUAAAUUAUAAUGGAUAUUUAACUGAAUGGCAAAAAUUUCCUUGUAUUCCUUUUGAAUUAAAAUUCUUCAAAUUGAUAUUAAGAAGAAGGAGCAGAAAGCAGGGGAUUCUGCGAUACGUAACUCUAGUACUAUGGACAAUAACGCCAUCUCUUAGAUAAAAACCGAACGAACUUUUUACUUGACCUAAUAUAUAGACAUACUCGUAGACAUAAAGUUAAAGCAAUGGGAAACAGUAGCCUUCUGAAGACCGUUCUUCUGCAACAGGACCAUUUCUGCAUUAAGCUUCCAUGUCAAAAUUAGUGAUGAUCAAAUGUUUCCUCCAUCAGCCGCACUGAAAACUUAUCAUUGCCAUUUAAGUCUUGCAUUAUACUGUACAAAACUAAAAUCGGUUCAGUAGUUUAAGAGUUUGCCCUAGACAAUCAACGUCACGCAUAAUUUUUAUUUACAUAUUUAGUUGAAGCCUUCAGCCUUUUUUGGAAAUGGAAAUAUAUAUAUAUAUAAGGAAGUGAAAGGGGCGACAUAGCAGUUUGAAAGUCAAGGUCAUUUCUGUUCUAGAUUAGCAAUGUAGAAAAGAAGAAAGGAAUAAAGCAAUGUACAAAAUGUAGCUUCAAAGUAAUCGCUACUAUUCAAAACCGAAGGCGCCAAGUGAAGAUCAGCUCUAACCAAAAAGUUUAUAACUUUCUUGCAGAUAAGGUUAUGUAAGAAGGCAAUAAAGACUUUUAGUGCCAAUACCGAUAGAUGAUAGUUGGGCCCCUAGACCGUUCAGUUCCUUCAAAUACUCCUUCUGAAGGGAUUAAUGAACGCAAGAAUAACCCCUUAGGUCUCGGAGCACCAGAAUUAAUUGUUAAAUUGUGCAAUUAAUAAAAAAAAUAUUUUUUUAUUUCAAUUUCGGCUGUUGUGCUGUAAGAAACAAAAAUUAAACUAGCCGUUUUGCUUGUCAAUUUACACCUAACUUGUAAUUUAUUGCUAGUGGCUU